rnacentral:rRNA from 1 species
CGACCAGACUCCUACGGGAGGCAGCAGUGGGGGAUAUUGCACAAUGGGGGGAACCCUGAUGCAGCGACGCCGCGUGGGUGAAGAAGUAUUUCGGUAUGUAAAGCCCUAUCGGCAGGGAAGAAAUUGGACGGUACCUGACUAAGAAGCCCCAGCUAACUACGUGCCAGCAGCCGCGGUAAUACGUAGGGGGCAAGCGUUAUCCGGAUUUACUGGGUGUAAAGGGAGCGUAGACGGCAAGGCAAGUCUGGAGUGAAAGCCCGUGGCUCAACCACGGGACUGCUUUGGAAACUGUGUUGCUGGAGUGCAGGAGGGGUAAGCGGAAUUCCUAGUGUAGCGGUGAAAUGCGUAGAUAUUAGGAGGAACACCAGUGGCGAAGGCGGCCUGCUGGGCUUUAACUGACGCUGAGGCUCGAAAGCGUGGGGAGCAAACAGGAUUAAAUACCCCGGUA